rnacentral:tRNA from 1 species
GUUUACUUAUCUUAGGAGAAAAUAUGUUUUGAAAACAUUAAAAGGACGUUYGAAUCGUUCMGUAAAWU